rnacentral:misc_RNA from 1 species
UUUGGGUGCAAACCGCAGAUUUGCUUAGAGUGAGUUUGUUUCUUAUUAUUUUUAUUUAUUCCCUGAUGGAUUAAUUAGAUACACAUCUUUCUGUUGCAAUUUUUGUUUAAAAGCAUAGCCUUUUAUAUGAUGAGGGUCAUAAUCUCAGCAGGAUGAGGGUCAUAUUCUCCUUCUCUUUCAAAUUUCUUUCUUGAAGUGGCCUGAGUUCCAUUGCAGCGUCA